rnacentral:lncRNA from 1 species
CUGACCUGCAACACCUGACCCUUCUCUUCUUUAUUCAGAGGAAAACAGGCCAGCAAGCAUCUGCACCAGGAGGCCAGGCCUUCUGGAAAUGUGUUGGACAGCGAUGGGUCCACACUUCCGCCUUGGCUCCUGAAUGUGGCAUAGCCAACCCAUGAGAGAUGUCAGUUGACAAAGAGCAUGAGGAUCAGGCCAUGGCCUUGUGACACAGUGGAUGAACACCUGGCUGAAGAAACCCAGGAGAGAGAAGCACUGGACACUGGCUUCUGGGCUUAGCUGCUUGGACUCUGGCCAAGGUCUGGGGAUGUCCAGGACAAUCAGCUUUCUGCUUCUGUGCCCAUAAACUCGGGGUAUGGACUCAUUUCCAGUGCUGAGAAGUUCUGAAAUUGCAAAAGAUUCUUCCUAGCAAGUUCUCGACCUGUCUUCUAACUACCCUGCCAUGUGGCCCUCUCUGGGCCUCAGUUUCCCAUCUGUGAAUGAAAGCACUAGACUCGAAGGGUCCCUUCUGGCUCCUCUAACUCCAACCGAGAGGCACAGCUCAGGCUGAGCAGUUGCAUUUCCUCAUCACGGGGGACUGACAGGGAUCUUUUGCAAUGCUCAAUUCUAACAUCAAAAUUCCCCCAAAUAUUCCUUUUUUUUUCUUUUUUCGAGACAGAGUCUCACUCUUGUCGCCCAAGCUGGAGUGCAAUGGCACAAUCUCAGCUCACUGCAACCUUCCCCCCCGCCGGUUCAAGUGAUUCUCCUGCCUCAGCCUCCCGAAUAUCUGGGACUACAGGCGCACGCCACUAUGCCAGCUAAUUUUUUUGUAUUUUUAGUAGAGACAGGGUUUCAUCAUUUCGGCCAGGCUAGUCUCGAACUCCUGACCUCAGGUGAUCUGCCUGCCUCGGCCUCCCAAAGUGUUGGGAUUACAGGUGUGAGCCACCUCACCGGCCCCAAAUAUUUAUUUGAAGACAUUGAUUCAGGAUGCUUCUAGCCAUUAAAUUUGAUUUGCAAAUGAAUUUUUCUGGAUCACCUCACAGGCCCUGGGGAAUGGCCAGGGGUCUGGGUGGCCAUAUUUUCCGAAUAAAGCUCAAAA